GUCCUCUUGGUUGUAUUUGAGGUCUGACCUGCCCAGUGAAUUAUUAUUUUAACGGCCGCAGUAUUUUGACUGUGCAAAGGUAGCAUAAUCAUUAGUCUUUUAAUAGGAGGCUGGUAUGAAGGGUUUGACGAGGUGUUAGCUGUCUCAUUUAAUUUGAAAUUAAAAUUUAACUUUUCAGUUAAAAGGCUGAAAUAAUAUUGGAAGACGAGAAGACCCUAUAGAGCUUUAUAUUUAAAAUUUUAAUUAAUUUUUGUUUAUUAUUAUUUAUUAUUUUUUUUAAUUAUUUUGUUGGGGUGACAAAAAUAUAUAAUGAACUUUUUUAUUUAAAUAACAUUGAUUUAUGAAAAUUAGAUCCAGUCUUAUUGAUUGUUAGAUUAAGUUACCUUAGGGAUAACAGCGUAAUCUUCCUUCAGAGUUCAUAUUUACAGGAAGGCUUGCGACCUCGAUGUUGGAUUAAGAUAAUAGUUAGGUGUAGCCGCUUAAUAUAUAGGUCUGUUCGACCUUUAAAUUCUU
rnacentral:rRNA from 1 species